AACUGGGCUUAAUGAAUAUGCGCACAUGCUAAUCAGGGAUGACACUUUCCGCGUUUAUGUUUAGUUUCAAGGAAGUCCCUUCUAACCGAAAAUCAAGUUUAGGCCGAAAGUGUCUUCCCUGAUUAGCCUGUGCGGACUGCACAGGCUAUUCUGGGAUGACAUUUUACGCACAUGCAUUAAGCCCAGUUUUCUCGGAACACGGCUCAUAUAAGUAUUGCUUUAAAUAUCAAUUACAGUUGUUAUGCAAUUUUUAAUAGUACUAGAUGAUUGUUUCUUGGACGAACAAUGCAGCUUUAACGGUUAAUGUAAGUUGAACAAUUUUUCUGAACACGAUCAUUGUUUUUUACAUGUAGCAUGUACAAAUCACAAAUUGUUUUAUAGUAUCCGUUACAUAUUUGGUCGUAUUAUUAUAUUAGCAAACUUCUUUUAAGAUAUUAAAAAUUCAUUUUUUUUAGACUUUUAAAUUCAAUCUGUCAACCAGCAUAUUUAUUGUAUUUUUUUCAAUUUUGUCAUUAAGUAUUAUCGGCCGCAUUUCGUUAGUACCAAGACUUGUUUAAAAACCUUACUCUUAGUAAUAAUUCGUUCGAAACGCCAAGACUUUUGUGAAGUACACCGACGUGUGUUGGUCUCAAGAUUCGAGAUUUAUUUUACAAUAACGGCGAGACUAUCAGGUAAUUUGCUUUUGUCAUUGGUUUAAAAAAAUCACAUUAUUUUAUUGUUAAGACAUCUGUACUAUUAACUACUUAACAAUAUGUGUCAUAUCGAUGAUCCUGUGUAAUCAUUUUGAGUAUACAUAGUAAUUUGUCAGUUCAUAAUAGCGACUCAUAUUUCGUAUAUGUAUUAUUUAAAGCUGUAUUCCUUUUCAGAUAUUAUGAUUUUACCAGAUAACGAAAAAACUACACAAUGCAAACGUUUCAUAAUGGUUGUACAACACAGUCAAACGGAAUUAUGCUGAACGAAUUCUUACACGGAGAAAUACCUUUAGCGAACAUCCACUCAGUUAUGUGUGUGUUUAUACUGGGUGAACAGUGUGAUUUAGGCUCUUACGGUGAUUGCGGAGACUGGGGGAUUUGCAGUAGCAGUUGUGCUGGAGGCCGACAUUGCAGAACAUGCUACUCUUGUUUUUGGAAGAUUGAGAAAGAAGACUGUGAAAAUUGUAACGAAAUGUGUUACAAUGACGGUUAUUAUUCUGCGGGGACAUGUCAUUGUCCGAACUGGAGAUCAGGCACAUGCUGCGAAACCUGCAGACAUAUUGAUAUAAACCAUUGCGUCCCUGGACAACAGCAAUGCGGUGGAUCCCCUGAUGGCAUUAUGUGCACACAGUGUCAGGACCUUUACUAUUCUGGAGGAUAUAAUCGGGGAUGUAUAGGUAAAUUUUAUUAUUACAAAUAAAACAAAUGUAUCACAUAUCGACAUUCAUUUUGUAAACUUUCAAAAGCCAUAUUGUAUAAUAUUUUCUUAUUGAAAUAAGAUAUUGAAAAGAGACAUCGUGUAUGCUUCAGCUCUAGUAAAAGUAGUUAGAUCCAUAACAUCGGUACAUACUCCUAUGCUUUAAAAUCACUUGUACACUGUGUUGACCAGGUAUUAUUCAUUAUGCAAAUGCCUGCCGGAAGUGUGUAUUGUACUAGAGCUCAUUUU